AAAAUAGAACCAGAGGCAUGUAAACAAGGAACAGACUAAUGAAUGUCAUAGGGAAAAUUGGAGGAGGGGGAGAUGAACACCCCGCUUCAUUUCAGUGAGCUUAGUAGUUAUUAUGAAAAUUGAACAAAUAUUAAUUUGUCCACUUAAUAUACUGAAAUGAAUUGAGAUAUAUAAUUAAAUUUUAUAUUAUCUACUGUAUUGGCUGAUUUAAGUUUAUAGACUGGAAGUUUAGAAAAAAAGUGGAAGAACCAGAUAAAUAUAUGGAUUGAUCAGAAGAAACACUCCAAAAAUUGACAUGAAUCAUUGCAGCAAGAUUAAAGUAAUGCAGUUAACUUUAUUUUGUUUUCAAAUGAAAACUUGCUUCUUUGGCAAUAUUCAUCAAUGAAGCAGAAUUUUUUUCCUGUUUUGUCUGAAUAUGGGAAUUUCAUUCUUGUUAACAUGAAUCACGGGUAUUGGAGCUGUGUAACUGAAUUAUAGCUAGCAUAUGGUUCAGAAUAUACAAUGUUAGGUUUUUAAAAACACCUGAAUUUUUUAUUUAUAAUUUCAAACUUUCACAGCAGUGUACAGAGAAUUUCAUAAAUUUGUUUCAGUGAACUGCUCUUUUUGCUAUAGGUUAUUAGACAUAGUGUUUACUCUUAUAAAUGAAAAUUUCUGAUCAUCUAAAACAUUGACACUUCAAUUUGCAGUGUGUUGUUCUGUUUUGUUCUCAAUAUAUUAACGUUCCUCUGAAUGGUAUUGAUAAAUGGUUCAGAAGAGUAACUCAGUAAAGUAAAAGUAAUAUUUAUUCAUGAUAAGCAAUUAAAUUAUUUGCCUAACUUAAAAAAACUACUGUGCAUAACUCAAUUUGACACAAGGCGAUAGAAGAGUCCGAGUUUACCUGUGGAAUAUAUUGGUUUAUUCUCAGUGUUUGAAGAUACAUUUGAAGAUAAUUGAUUUGGGAAGAUGCCAUAUAAUUUUCCUUUUUUUUUUUUAACCUGCAUGCUGUAAAUGUGUUUUAUGUUUAAAUAAAGAGGAAAAAUUUUU